rnacentral:rRNA from 1 species
AUUGAACGCUGGCGGCAUGCCUUACACAUGCAAGUCGAACGGCAGCGGACCUUCGGGUGCCGGCGAGUGGCGAACGGGUGAGUAAUAUAUCGGAACGUACCUUUCAGUGGGGGACGAACGUAGCGAAAGUUACGCUAAUACCGCAUAUUCUGUGAGCAGGAAAGCAGGGGAUCGCAAGACCUUGCGCUGAUUGAGCGGCCGAUAUCAGAUUAGCUAGUUGGUGAGGUAAAGGACUCACCAAGGCGACGAUCUGUAGCGGGUCUGAGAGGAUGAUCCGCCACACUGGAACUGAGACACGGUCCAGACUCCUACGGGAGGCAGCAGUGGGGAAUUUUGGACAAUGGGCGGCAAGCCUGAUCCAGCCAUGCCGCGUGAGUGAAGAAAGGCCUC